AGAAAAAAAAGAAGAAGAAGACGAAGAAGAAGAAGGAUAAGGAUUCGUGCUCUUCCUCUGACAGUGAAGAUGACAAGAAGAAGAAGAAAAAGAAGAAGAAGAAGUCCAGUUCUUCUGAUGAAAGCUCCUCUUCCUCCUCAUCCUCCUCUUUCUCUGAUAGUGAUGAUGAC